rnacentral:rRNA from 1 species
AGAAUCAACGCUGGCGGCGUGCCUAACACAUGCAAGUCGCACGAGAAAGGGGAGCAAUCCCUGAGUAAAGUGGCGCACGGGUGAGUAACACGUGACUAACCUACCUUUUAGUGGGGGAUAACCUAGGGAAACCUGGGCUAAUACCGCAUAAUACCUACGGGUCAAAGCAGCAAUGCGCUGGAAGAGGGGGUCGCGGUCGAUUAGUUAGUUGGCGGGGUAAUGGCCUACCAAGACUGUGAUCGAUA